rnacentral:lncRNA from 1 species
GCAAGGCCAAAGGCGUGAGCUGAAGUUAGCAAGAAAAGUGUGCGGGUGAUGAGGCGCGGACCUGACCGACCGCGCAGCACGGGAGCCGCCGGAGGGCAUCGAGCAGCGGGCGGCCCUUCCGGCUUCCUGUUGGCGAGGCCGACCCGCACCUGAGCGAGUCCCGGGUCUGCAGGAAGGUGGUGGCUUGGGAACUAGGAGCAAAGUCGCUGUUUUAAGAAAAGAUGUGUUUGUGUCUGCUGCCCCUGUGUGGCCACAUGCACGAACUACACUCUCGUCUCUGCCUGACCUGAUUCUGGGGAAAGGCACGUUUUCAGAGGCUGUUGAUUUCUUCAGCACUGUUUUGCAGUUCUACGACUUAGCUCCUAAAAAAUCACAGAAUCGUCCGGCGCCCACUGGGAGCCUUGGAACUUAUGCCCCUCCGAUAUCAGGGGACAACUGUAUCUCCUAAUCAAGAAGGUAUUGCUAAGUUCACUAAAUGAAUCACAAUUGAAGCCAAAAUAAAGAAUUUUAAACCAUGCCCUGAACUUUAAAAGGACCCUUUAGUAUACUCACAAAGGACCACAAGUCUGAUGGAUGAAGGAUUCUAGUUAGCAAGACAGACUCCAUAUUGCUGCUGAAUGACCCACCUGCCUGUCCCUUUAGAUGAACUCAAAAGGAGGAAGCUUAGAAACCUCCUCCCCUUAGAGAGUCUCUUAGAAACAAAAAUUAAUCAACUAUUGUUUUACAAAUGUUAUAACGACAGGAUGUUCCCCUCUAUACCUUUUGCUUGCUUUGCUAGUUCUAUCCCAUAGGGGGGCCUAGAAACCGUUGGCCUCAAAGGUGUAUAAAAUAUGUUAAUCGAGCCCCGACUGGGGGGCUGGAGUCCGAUGCUCG